AGCGAUGGAUGGUUGCAGCAUA
rnacentral:siRNA from 1 species